UUGUGAAGAUAAUUUAUGUUAGAUUUUGGUAAGCGUCAUUGGGUAUUGUACCUAAUCGGCAUUUAAUCUGUCCACAUUUGUGCAGAUACAUGGACGAGCCAAUGGAUCCUGAGCCUGAGGAAGGAGCAGAGAUUGAAUAAGAUAAUGGCAACAAUGGCGACAUUCCAGACCCCCUGUUGGGUGAAGGUGCGGAAAAAACAGAGCAAGAGCCUGUGGAACGACCUAGGAAGACGUCAAAGUUUAUGACGAAAUAUGAGCGUGCAAGAAUCCUGGGCACCCGUGCUCGCCAAAUCAGCAUGAAUGCAAGUGCGGAAUCUAAAUA